AUUGAACGCUGGCGGCAUGCCUUACACAUGCAAGUCGAACGGCAGCAUAGGAGCUUGCUCCUGAUGGCGAGUGGCGAACGGGUGAGUAAUAUAUCGGAACGUGCCCUAGAGUGGGGGAUAACUAGUCGAAAGAUUAGCUAAUACCGCAUACGAUCUACGGACGAAAGUGGGGGAUCGCAAGACCUCAUGCUCCUGGAGCGGCCGAUAUCUGAUUAGCUAGUUGGUGGGGUAAAAGCCCACCAAGGCGACGAUCAGUAGCUGGUCUGAGAGGACGACCAGCCACACUGGGACUGAGACACGGCCCAGACUCCUACGGGAGGCAGCAGUGGGGAAUUUUGGACAAUGGGGGCAACCCUGAUCCAGCAAUGCCGCGUGAGUGAAGAAGGCCUUCGGGUUGUAAAGCUCUUUUGUCAGGGAAGAAACGGUUCUGGAUAAUACCCAGAGCUAAUGACGGUACCUGAAGAAUAAGCACCGGCUAACUACGUGCCAGCCGCCGCAGUAA
rnacentral:rRNA from 1 species